AACGCGAAGAACCUUACCUGGGCUUGAACCGCUACUGACCAACGGUAGAAAUAUCGUCUUCCCGCAAGGGACAGUAGUAGAGGUGCUGCAUGGCUGUCGUCAGCUCGUGCCGUGAGGUGUUGGGUUAAGUCCCGCAACGAGCGCAACCCUUACUCGUAGUUGCUACCCGCAAGGGAGAACUCUACGAGGACUGCUCCGGAUAACGGAGAGGAAGGUGGGGAUGACGUCAAGUCAGCACGGCCUUUAUGUCCAGGGCUACACACGUGUUACAAUGCAUGGUACAGACUGUUGCGAACCCGCGAGGGGGAGCUAAUCGGACAAAACCAUGCUCAGUUCGGAUUGCAGUCUGCAACUCGGCUGCAUGAAGCUGGAAUCGCUAGUAAUGGCGUAUCAGAUCGACGCCGUGAAUACGUUCCCGGGCCUUGUA
rnacentral:rRNA from 1 species